UAAAGUAUGACUAGGCACACG
rnacentral:miRNA from 1 species